UCUUCCUCUUUCUGUCUCUCACUCUCUCUUUUUCUUCCUUCCUUCCUUCCUCCCUCUUUCUCUCAUAUUCAGGAGCCUCCAUUCCCAGUAUUACCUUUGACCUUGACCUACUCACAGUGCUGCCUGGGGACCAACCCACAAGUGCCCGUGUGAACAGGAGGAAGAGCAGCGGCUCAGGCCCACGCCUGGGAGGCAGCUCCGUGCCCCGGGCUUUCCGGAAGGGGUUCUUCUCCUAAGGGUUGUGCUGCUUCCACGUGAUGGAAAUCUGUUCUCUGACUGUAGGAUGUCAUCCGAGUGCUGGUUAGGGAAACCCCAGCGGGACAGCCGUGCCUGUCCUGUUCUUAUGGAACGAGAGCUGAGAGCAGGUAGAGGAAGACACGUAUCUCAGCUGCUGUGGCUGUGGGCAGUUAUCACGUCAGAAUGAACACAUCGUCCGAGGUGAACGUUCUGCUGCCCCACGUCCUGGCUGAUUUCAAGUACCUACCUGGGGGAAUUGUUCUAGGACCAGAAGGUACGCAGAGGUGUCCCUCUCCCCUCCCCUGACUCUCUCCACCCCUUUCCCACCUUCCCGGCGUGGGGACUCAUCUCAUUAAUUUCUGGUCUCUGCUUCUGCAUUUCUUUUGCAAGAAAGAGCAGCAAGAUGCAUCCUUUCCCACACCCCCUUCUCUCUUACAUGAGGCUGGUGUACUGAGAGACUCUUUUGUAUUUUCCUUUUCUCACUUAGCAAUGCUCCCUAUCAGUUCUUAGAGGUCAUUCUCAUUUUUUUUUUACAGCUGCAUAAUACUACAUUACGUUCUAUAGUUUUCUUAGCAACUACUUAGGUUCUUUCUAAAGGUUUUCAAUAACAAAUAAUGCUACACAGGGAGAGGGUAGAGCUCAAUGGUGGAGUGUGUGUUAGCAGACAUGAGGUCCUGGGUUCAAUCCCCAGUGCCUCCAUUUUAAAAAUAAAUAAAUAAAUAAAUAGAUUAAUUAAUUAAUUAGUAAACCUAAUUACCACCCCCCAAAAAAGAAAUUUAAAAAAAAAUUUAAACAACAAAUAAUGCUACAAUGAAAAACUUAAUGCACGUAGAUGUAUAUACACAUACAUGUAUACAUGUGCAUGUUUGGAGUUAUGAGUUAUCUAUAGCUGAUGAAAAAAUUACCUCCAAACAUAAUAGCCUAAAACAGCAAACAUUCAUCACCUCAGAAUCUGUGGGUCAGGAGUCCACACGGGGCUUGGCUGGGCAGUCUGGCUCAGGGUCCCUCCCAGGGAGCAGUCAGGGUACCGGGGGGGCUGUGCUUUCCUGCGAACGCUCAGCCGAAGGAGGGUCGACUCCCGAGCUCACACCCCCAGCCGUUGGCAGGAUGCAGUCAUUCACCAGGUGUUGGACUAAGAGCCUCAGUGCCUCCCUGACCGGAGGCUGGCCUCAGUUCCUCUGUGGUCCACAGUGGCUCACGGCUUGGCAGCUGGCUUCCAUCCACAUGAGCAAGCAAGACAGAGCAAGACCGAAGUCGCGAUCUUUUUGCAGCCUAGUCUCAGAAGUGGCACCCCAUCACGUUUGCCACGUUCUGUUAGCUCGAGGUGAGGCACCAGGUGCAGCUGAUGCUCAAGGAAGGGGAGUGCACAAGGGCAUGAAUUCCAGGAGCUGGGGUUCCUGGGAACCCGUUUACAGUCUGCCUAGCGUGGGCUGUAUCUUCAGGGAAAAUUUUCAGCAAUAGGAUUGCUGGGUCAAAGUACGAGCACGCGCAGUCUUGCCAGGCACCGCUGACACCCCCUCCUCGAGGCGGGUUAUACGAUCUGCGUCCCCACCGGUGACGUGUGAGAGCGUGCUCGCCCACGGCCUGGACAGCCGCACAGAUUGUGGGGCGUUUCUGUUUUUGCCAAUUUGACAGGUGAAAACUAGUGUCUCGGUGUUGUUUUAUUUUGAUUUCUUAAUUAUGAGUGAAUGUAAACAUGUUUUCCACACGUUUCAGUGCCAUUUUAAUAUCUAAGUGAGUAUCUUGUCCGAUCAUGCGUUUUUUCUAUUUUUGUAUCACAGUUUGGUUUUAUGUUCUUCAAUUUUAAAGAGUUCUUUAUGUAUUAUUGCUUCUGAAUUUUGAGUCCUAGUCAGAAAGCCUUUCCCUGCACUAAGAGGAAUCCACCCACGGUCUCUUCUAGUAUUUGAAUGUUUUCCUUUUUCACUGAUGUCCUUGUUUCCUCUGGUAUUUAUCCUGUGUGCAGUGUGAGGGUCUUUGUCUAGUCCCUGCAACAGUGAUCAGUGUCCCUUGGUGUCCAGCUUUGCCACUGAGAGGUCUGCUCUCGAUCCGACUUCCUCUUUGCCCUGGUGACUUAAGAUGCUGCCUUUUUCUUAUAUGAAAUUUUCCUGUGUGCUUGAAUACAUUUCCUGGCUCUCUAUUCCAUUCUACUGCUCUGUUUUUCUGACCAUGCCCCAGCGACGUGAAAGGCGCCUGGCGAGCUUUACUGUCUGGCAGAGGGGAGCCGCCCUCACGGUUUUUCUUUUUCGUAUUUUCCUGCUAGAAUUGAAUGUUUAUUUUUCCAUAUAGACUUUAAUAUUAACUUGUCUAACUCCAUAAAAAGCACUGAUAUUUUUAUUUCUGUUAGUAUUUUAUUGCAUUCAUAAGCUAACUAGGGAGAACUGCCACGUUUAUAAUUUUGAAUCAUCCUGCGCAAGAGCUUUCCAUCUGUUCAGGUCUGUUUUUGUGCCUUUCCAGAAUACUUCCCAGCUUUCCUCGUAUAGUUUUUGCGUAUUUCCUGUGACAUUUUUCUUUAGUGUCUCAUCUUCUUUGUUAUUUUCUCCAUCAUCGUCCUCCGACUGGCUAUUGUUUGUGUAAAUGAAGACUCGAUUUCUGUAUGUGAGUUUUAUAUCCUGCUAGUACACUAAAUUCUUUCAUUGUCUGAGUCAGUUUCAUCCUUGACUUUUUCGGGUUUUCCUGGUGUACUUUCAUAUGCAGAGAGGUAGUUUUCACUGCUUCUUUACCAGUUCUUACCCCUGUAAUUGCCUUCUCUUACCUAACUGCCUUGUCUGACACCUGUAUACAGUGUUGAGUGGUUGAGAGAUACUGGGCAUCUGGGCAUGCUUACCUUGUUCUUGAUCUUAGUGAAAAUGCCUUUAGGAAUUUUUUUGCUACUGAAGUAUAGUCAGUUUACAGUGUUGUGUCAAUUUCUGGUGUACAGCAUAAUGCUUCGGUCUUAUACAUACAUGCAUAUAAUAUAUUCCUUUUCAUAUUCUUUUUCAGUAUAGGUUAUUACAAGAUACUGAAUAUAGUUCCCUGUGCUGUACAGUAGGACCUUAUUGUUCAUCUAUUUUAUACAUAGUAGGUAGUAUCUGCAAAUCCCAAACUCAUAGUUUAUCCCCCAUCGUAACUGUAAGCUCGUUGUCUACUCCUGUGAGUCUGUUUCUGUUUUGUAAAUAAAUUUAUUUGGCCCCUUAAUGUUUCUCCAUUAAAUGAGAUGCUAGUUUUAGGACCAACAUGUAUAUAUAUAAUUAUUAUAUUAAGAAAGCUGCUUUCAAAUCCAAUUGAGCAAUUUUUAUCAGCAAUGGGUUUUGAAUUUUGUCCAAGGCUUUUACAGCAUCUUCAGAGAUAAUUAUAUGCCAUAUUCCUGGAUCUGUUAAUAUGUGUAUACUAUUAUUAGAGUUUCAAAUGUUGAACCAACUUUGCUUUCCUGGAGUAAGUGCCACUUGGUCAUGGUGAAUUAUUUUCUUAAUGUGGGGUUGAAUUCUACUUGCCAACGUUUAUAUUUUUAUCACCUUUUAUACUCAAACGUUCUGUUUUAAUUAUGCCUCUUCUAGACAUCACAUUAUUGGAUUUUUUUUCUUUGUUCAAUCAGAGAGUCUUUAUCUUUUAUAUUUUUUUCUAUUUAUGAUUAUUAUAAUGACCAUGUAGUGGAUUUGUUUUCACUAUCUUAUUUCAUAUUUUGCUCUUAUUGGACUUUUUUUUGCUGCUUUUAUUUUCUUUUCCUGCUUUCUUUUAGUCAUUUCGAGUAUUCUGCCAGUUUAAAAUGUGAAACGUGAAAUUUUUGUUCUUCCUGUGGUUACCCUCAAUUUUAAGCCUGUAAGUAUUCAUAUUCACCAUCAGGAGUACAGUUAGCAAUGGCAGUAUGGCGCUCCUCACCAUUCAGGGUUUGCCCUUGGUCAUGUCCCUUGGUCCCCCUCCCUCAGCCCACACAGUGUUGACAUCUUCGCUCUGGACUGUACUGGACACAGUCUGUUUCCUGUUUUGGUCCUGUGGUGACUGACCUCUACCAGGCAUAUAAUCACCCUUAAUUCCACGUCUCUUACACGAAUCUCCCAGCUUUGUUUCUUUUCUUAUCUGAAUCCUUCCUUCAAGAGCAUUUCCAAAGUGUGGGGACAUUUUUGAGACUUUAUAUGAGUGAGGAUAUUUAUAUUCUCUCAUCUGAGUGAUCAUUUGGGUUAAAAAAAACCCUAACAUUCAAAGUUCACUUUUUCUUUUACUCCUAUAAAACCACGACACCAGCAUCCUCUUGUCCUGUUCUGCUGUUGAGAAGGGCCCUCCCAUUCUGCCUCCUACUCAUUUGCAGGGAGGGUGAGGAUCAAAUGUGUCCUCCAACCAGGACACUUCGCAGAGUGACGAGGAGACUCAGACCCGGGCAGCAGGUGUAAACCAGAAUUCCUGGGAAUACCAAGACACGCAUUCUGCUCACUGGCAGGGUGUUUGGUCGCCCUGCUUACAGCUGCUUAACUCUUUCUCUCUGGAAGCUUUCAGAAUUUUCUAAUUUGCAUCUGAUGUUCUUGGGUUUGUUAUAGGACGUCUAGGUGUGGGUCUGUUGCUUGGCCUUUUAAGAACCCUUUCUAUUUGAGUCAUCUCUCCUUUCUUCUCUCCUUCCUUCCUUUUCCCUCCCUCCUCCUUUCUCCUCCUCCCCCACUCCCUCCAUCCAUGUACCAGUUAUUCCUGCUGUUAAUUUCACCCCAGGCUGUUUCUUGUGGUCAAAUGUAGAGAGUCCCUUAUCCUGCCAACAGGAGCUGCUUAAGCUCUUGUGAGACUUACAUUUGUUAUUGCAAAUUUUAAAAAGGCUUUUUGCUUUAUAUCUCUGUCUCCAGUACAUUUUAAUUUCUGAGUGCUUUCACGGCCUUAGGCAUUGAUCAAAAUCUCUGGGCCUGUGAAGUCGGGAGCCGGAUCCCCUGGCCAUCCUAAGACAUGGCCUGUAAUAAUCAUAAAAGAUACUUCCAGGCAUGGCCUCUACUGAUUGCCCAUCAGGAGUUGUGGACAUGAAGACUCAGCACGGUGAGACCCCUGACUGCAAACCGCGCGAGCUCCUCUGACCAGCUUGAGCAGGAAAGGAUGUACUGUGCUGUGAGGGCGAGCAGAGAAUCGCGCAGAACGGCGAUGAGUGUUGAGACUAUGUUUCCAGGACCAUCGCCCAGACCACGAGAUGGGACUGCACAGGUGAGGAAGCUGCCCCCGCCAGCAGCAGUGCUCCAGCUUCUCUGCUAAAUGUGACGCACUUGAGGCACGUGCAGAGGACGGAUGUCAGCACGCCCGGAGCAGGCGACUGAGUCUCUUGUCACGAGGUCCACCCUGUUCUCUUGGCAAGAAGCGAAGACACCGCAGUGAAGCUGCUGCUGCACACGUCGACCUUCACCCUGAAUCUCAGCAAAAACUGUGCCGGAAGUCGUGCUGCUGUUACAGACUAAGCAAAUGUGGUCGUGCAAAACUCUUGGCUCUCUGUUUGUAUUUUUAAGUACCUAGUAAUAGUCACUAUGAAGUUUUAGGUUUUCGAUUGUGCUAGAAAAUAUAUAAAUAACGCAAAGCCUGCAUUUUGACUUCUGAGUGAAGAGAAGAUUUCAGACCAAAAAAAAAAAAAAAAAAAGGAGGAGAGCUUGUUUUCACAUGUGUUGCCUUUCUUUAUCCUGUGGAAUCUUGAAAUCAUCUAUCUCCUCAAAAUCUCCCUACAGGAAAAUUAAACAUUAAUGCACGAGGUCAAGAGGAUAUUAACUGAGAAUUAUUUAAUGUAAUAUGUAUAAUACAAGACUUGAUGUGAAAAUACAUAGCUUGGUAUGCAGCAAAUUUGGAUAUUAUUGUUUUUAUUGAAAGAGGAAAAUUAUAACUCAGGGCACAAGGUAAGACUUCCACAUUAGGACAACAUUAAACAAUUCAGUUACGUAGGCUGUAGCAGUGCUAGAAAUUAAAUAGCAGCAGGAGAAACUGACUUGCUUGGCCAGAACCCGCCAGUGCAGACAGGCUGGGUGGGGAAGGGUCCAAGCUCUCGCAGGGACUCAACUGCUCAGGCGCUCAUGUCAUCUCAGUCCCUGUUAGACUGGCCUCCAGUUUCCUGUUCUGGGAACACUGGCCGAUGGCUGCCACCUCAGAACUACCAGCUGUGAGAAUGCAAAGGCUUCACACUGAAAAUAAAAACGCACAGCUGGGAGGAGCUCUGCGUGGGGUAAGGGUUACGUGGCAGAGAGAAAAGAUUGCUUCAAGGGAGCUUAGACCUUCACCUGGAACUUACGUCCUUGGAACAUGCAUUCUAAGGACAAAGAGUUAAGGGAAAUUUCGAGCUUGUGUUCAGUAGUUUCAUUGUUUAUGGUGAUAAUGGUAAGACUGCGAAACUUUUUCUUUAUAUUGUUAGGGAGAGCAAGUAAGUCAUGAAAUGUUUGUGUUGUUAGAAAUAAUGCAAUCCAGUACAACAGCAAAGAUUCCAUUGUGAAAGUGAAAGAAAUUAAGUAGAAAUACUACAUUGGGAUUGACAGGGAACUACCAGUAUGAACACAUGAUUUUUUUAAAAAGUCCUUUUCAGCACCACGCGCUGGACUGGCCAAGACACCCUGUCCCUCCGGCAGCAAGAUCGCGCCAAGAGCCCGCGUGUGGGUGUGAGCGCCAUGCCCCGGACUUGCAGCCGGCUCCGCGGGGAGACGCCGUUGCGCUGGGGCAGCGAAGCUUCGGAGCGGGGAGGGGGCAUCUCGCACCAGGGGACACGGGCUCUCAAUUGGUGGAUGGACUGAAAAGAGACUUUGGAGGGGCUCCCAGUGGCCACCUCUUGACAACUGAGCAAAAGCAAUAAUAUGCAUUGUAGAUAAACAUACUCUAUGAAAAUCCGUGAGCCUGUUAUGCUCAAAAGGGCAAAAGCCGGAAAAAAUAAUUCAAAGUAAUUUGUUACAACUGAAAUAGCUAGUGAGCCAGCCGCACUUUUACAGCCGGGCAGGAAAGGAGGAACAGAGUGUUCAGCCUCCCUUUUCGACAGGGGUUGCUCAGCAAGGCCUGAGACUCAGUGAACAGUCUUGGUGGGCAGAGUAAACCUUUGUUCUACAGAAGGCUCUCUGAUAACAGGAGACAGAAAACCACGGUCCAGCUACCCUCGUGGAUCACAAGCUGGGUUGAGAAUUACUGUCGGGGCUGGAAUAUCCCCACGCCGGCCUCCGGCGGCCCCCUCGGAGCACCUGGGAGGAGUCAGCGCCGGGCCCCAUCAGGAGCACGGAUGGCAGCCACGUUUCGUGCCUGCUGGUUCAGAAACAUUCUCUCUGUGCACCUGUGGACAAGCGUAUCUUUGGCCUGAGACCAGCUGUCGCAAAAAAGCUGCCAGGCAGGGAGUUGCUAGUCCUCACACAGCUCCUCAGUGGUUUCUGUUACAUCCACCUCCAGCAGCGGCAUCCUGGGAGCCCUGUGGCCACCGCGGCUUAGCUCAGCCCUCAGCAGCCCGUGGGGCCGGCAUUCCCCUCCCAGACCAGCGGCCUGCCCUCCUCGCACCCCCAGGGACCCUAGGAGCCCACCACCCUGCCUGGGGCUUCAGUCCCAGAUAACCCGGCUUUGCUCUUGUUGGCUUCUCUUCUGAUCCUGAAAAACAAAAUUAUUUUGAGAUAAUCAAGUGACUUUGAAGUAAUAUAACGUCACGUCGGGGUGUCAGGACGCCAGAUGUUGUAAUAGCCACUGCUGCCUUCUGCUGCCGCCUGCAGAGGCGUCGGAGAAAACAGCUGAGAAAUCCCAGACGGAGAGGGAAGGAGAGGGGAGGAGUGACCGCACCGGCCUGAGCGGCAGAACUGGCCACCGCCCUGUGCCUGGGGAGAGCACCGAUGGGAGCUGUGUGGUCCCCAGCCAGCUGCCUGGAGGAGUUACAAAACUGUGGAUUUCUCAACCAUCCUCCCCUGGCGGUUUGCCACGUCUGCACCCGGGGAGGAGCACUUCCCGGGGCCAGGACUCCCGCUGCCUGCCCGUUGGAAAGUCCGGGCAGUGCAGAAAGAACUUCUCACUGGCCGCCUCCGCCUCGUGGACCUGUCACGCGGAGGAAGGAGAUGCUCUGGGGCUGAAACCCUCGUGGUGCUUUGGACCUGACAGUGACGUCACUCAUCUUGGACGUUACUCACAGCACAUGCACAUCCAUAAACGCUGUAUUCUAUUCUUUGAAACGAAAAAUAUUUUGAGCCCCCGAGUAUUAUUUAGAGAGGGGGUUAUGCGAGGUCAUUUAAACAUCUGAAAAUACAUCCCUGGGGCUGUGGAGUAAUCAAGCUUUGCGGCUACUCAAUCCUUGUGCUUCCACGUCUUAGUUGCGCCCGUCAGUGCUUCAAACGCGAACUCCCUUUCCCGGUGAACGUACAUCCGUGGCCCUUGCUGGCAGUGUUUACCCCUGAUACAUCCCCCAAACGCUCAGGUAAUGAUGCCCUGAGAGCACCCGGAAAGGACUGGGGCACUGCUCUCACAGUAGAGACCAAAGUAAAAAAGAAAUUUUUAUUUGUGAUCUUA